GGCCACUGCUAUCGGGGUUCGAUUAAGCCAUGCGAGUCGAGAGGUGCAAGACCUCGGCGCACUGCUCAGUAACACGUGGAUAACCUACCCUCAGGUGGGGGAUAACCCCGGGAAACUGGGGAUAAUACCCCAUAGACCAGGGACGCUGGAAUGCCCCCUGAUCGAAAGGUCCGCCGCCUGAGGAUGGGUCUGCGGCCGAUUAGGUUGUUGUUGGGGUAACGGCCCAACAAGCCUUUGAUCGGUACGGGUUGUGAGAGCAAGAGCCCGGAGAUGGAUUCUGAGACACAAAUCCAGGCCCUACGGGGCGCAGCAGGCGCGAAAACUUUACAAUGCGAGAAAUCGUGAUAAGGGAACCCCGAGUGCCCGUAAAUUCGGGCUGUCCAUCAGCGUAAAAAACUGGUGAAGAAAGGGCCGGGCAAGACCGGUGCCAGCCGCCGCGGUAAUACCGGCGGCUCGAGUGGUGGCCACUAUUACUGGGCUUAAAGCGUCCGUAGCUGGAUUGUUAAGUCUCUUGGGAAAUCCGCCGGCUUAACCGGCGGGCGUUCAGGAGAAACUGGCAAUCUAGGGACCGGGAGAGGUGAGAGGUACUCCAGGGGUAGGAGUGAAAUCCUGUAAUCCUUGGGGGACCACCUGUGGCGAAGGCGUCUCGCUAGAACGGCUCCGACAGUGAGGGACGAAAGCUGGGGGAGCAAACCGGAUUAGAUACCCGGGUAGUCCCAGCUGUAAACGAUGCGCGUUAGGUGUAUCGGUGACCACGAGUCAUCGAGGUGCCGAAGGGAAACCGUGAAACGUGCCGCCUGGGAAGUACGGUCGCAAGGCUGAAACUUAAAGGAAUUGGCGGGGGAGCACCACAACGGGUGGAGCCUGCGGUUU
rnacentral:rRNA from 1 species